GACGAACGCUGGCGGCGUGCUUAACACAUGCAAGUCGAACGGAAAGGCCUGCUUUCCCUUGUGUGUUGCGGGUACUCGCGUGGCGAACGCGUGAGUAACACGUGCGUUAUCUGCUCCCAACUUGGGUAUAAGCCUGGGAUACUGGGUCUAAUUCCCGACAGGACCGCAGGGUGGUGCCGGUAGUGGCAAACGAUUUGUUGGCGGUUGGGGAUGAACUGCGGGCCUAUCAGGUUGUUGGUGGGGUAAUGGCCUACCAAGGCUGCGACGGGUAGCCGGCCUGGGAGGUGGAACGGCGACAUGGGGACUGAUAUAAGGCGCAGCAGCCUUGGGGAGGAAGGAGUGGGGAAUAGUGCACAGAGGGAGGGAGCCCGAGGCAGCAAUGCCGCGUGCGGGAUGAUGGCCUUCUUGUGGUAGCGAGGAUGCGCCCUGGAUGGAGGGGUGGUGACGGUAAUGGGAGAAGAAGCACCGGCUAACUACGUG
rnacentral:rRNA from 1 species